AGCGAACGCUGGCGGCAGGCCUAACACAUGCAAGUCGAACGAACUCUUCGGAGUUAGUGGCGGACGGGUGAGUAACACGUGGGAACGUUCCUUUAGGUUCGGAAUAACUCAGGGAAACUUGAGCUAAUACCGGAUGUGCCCUUCGGGGGAAAGAUUUAUCGCCUUUAGAGCGGCCCGCGUCUGAUUAGCUAGUUGGUGAGGUAAAGGCUCAACAAGGCGACGAUCAGUAGCUGGUCUGAGAGGAUGAUCAGCCACAUUGGGACUGGGACACGGCCCAAACUCCUACGGGAGGCAGCAGUGGGGAAUCUUGCGCAAUGGGCGAAAGCCUGACGCAGCCAUGCCGCGUGAAUGAUGAAGGUCUUAAGAUUGUAAAAUUCUUUCACCGGGGACGAUAAUGACGGUACCCGGAGAAGAAGCCCCGGCUAACUUCGUG
rnacentral:rRNA from 1 species